rnacentral:tRNA from 1 species
AAGAAAGUGACAGAAUGGUUAUGUGCCCGGCUUGAAACCGGGAGAUGGGGGUUCGACUCCUCCUUUUCUCG